rnacentral:sRNA from 1 species
AGCGCCUGCGGCAGGCCCGGCGCGGACCCUUCUGACACGGCUUCGCAGGCAGCCGGUCCGCGUACGGUCGGGUACAGACAGGAAUUUCCUGUCUUUAACGGUUUC